UACAAUGACUCUCGGCAACGGAUAUCUCGGCUCUUGCAUCGAUGAAGAACGUAGCGAAAUGCGAUACUUGAUGUGAAUUGCAGAAUCCCGUGAACCAUCGAGUCUUUGAACGCAGGUUGCGCCCGAAGCCAUUGAGCCGAGGGCACGUUUACCUGGGUGUCACA
rnacentral:rRNA from 1 species